AUGCAUUCAACUUUCACACACUUACCGACUCAUGGUAGCUCACCUCACCAGCAACCAUGACCCUCAAAUCUCUAAUGCCCAAAACCAAAGGGCUAGUAACAUUGUCGACCGAUCGCCAUCUUCCUCGCAGCCUCACCUGGCCUCGUGUUGAAGCUCUCCUGAGCACGUUGUUGUCACUGCACGUUCCACACCUUGCCAUCAUCGAAGCCUUGCCUGAUUGGCUUGUUCUUGUCGGUAGUUGUUACUGCACGUUUCUAUUAAAUUUUCUGUUCUUUCUAUUAAUUACAUUGCUUUUUUUUGGUUAAUAAUUUGGUAUUGUGGCUAAAUGUUUGAUUGUAUUUGAUGAGUUUAAUCUAAUGUAAAUAUGUUAAAACUUGAAAAUGUUGCUGGCUUGAUUUAAUUUCCUUGCUGAUUUAAUUUAAUUUAAUUUUGCUUAAUUUUCUUUGCUGAUUUGUUUAAUUAUUUUAAUUAAAUGCAUUAAUUUUCAAUAUAAUGUAAAUGCUUAAUCUCUUUUUUUUUUUCUUCACAUAUGCUAACUCACUUUGCAUAUUACUUUAAUUAGGUUUCGGGAUUAGUUGAACAUGGCCGAAGGGGAGCAAGGAAAUAAUUUUUCAUUCUCUCCAAAUAGCAGCAUCAUAUGUUGGAUUCGAAACUUGGAAUUUCCAUGGAUUUGUAGUGUUUUUAUUUGCGGAUUUUAAUGGUGGUGUGCUUGAAUUUAUGUUAUUUUUUGUUUGAUUUAUAUUGUGAUAUUUUUAUUUGUGGAUUUAUGAUGUUGUUGGAUUUUAUUUACUUAUUCAUGUUGAACUGUUAAUUGUUAAAUUAUGAUUUAAUUCUAUUUGAUAUUAUUAGAUAAUUAUUAA
rnacentral:lncRNA from 1 species